GGAUGUGAGGGCGUCUGGCUGCAACAUGUCACCUCAUUGAUGGCCAGGGUUGAUUUGGCUGAUCUGGCUGGUAGGCGGGUGUCCCCCUCCUCCCUCACCGCUCCAUGUGCAUCCCUCCUGAAGCUUCGUGCUCGGUAGAAGAGGACAGCCUUCCCCAAAUAGAGACUGACUGGUCUUCAGUGGAGGGUAUAGAAGUAGUUGCACUCCCCUGCUGGAACCUCCAAUCUAAAUUAUGGAGAUUAUAGACAUACCAAAAAUUUAUAUCUAGCCAAAUGGAAAGAAUGAUGAUUGAUCAGUAUCCUCACUGU
rnacentral:snRNA from 1 species